rnacentral:lncRNA from 1 species
GGAACCACAAGAAUUGCAUUUGUAAUUAUCUUGACAUUUUAAGUAACAGCCAAUUGUUUCCUAAAGGGGGAAAAUGAGAGAGAUAACAGAUCACUAUAGGACAUUAUGAACGGUAUCUCUUCCUAGACCAGUAAAUGGCUUCUUUUCCUGGCACUAGGAAACAACCAUGCUUAUAACUAAAAAAAAAAAUCAAACUUUUCAUACAUAUUCUAUUGCAUUUCCAAGUUACCUUUAUUUUCAUUUAGCCAUCACUUGUUAGUUUCUUGUUUGUAUCUGUUCUUUUCAAGACAACUUGUGGCUUCUUGACUCUUCACCCUUUCUAUUUUCCUCACCAUCUAACCUUAGAGCAUUCCUCUUUUUUCUCUCUGAAAAUCUGCCUGCUGGUAUUUUCCAUGAAUCCAUCUGCAUUGAAUUAUUUAUAGUUACAAUAAGGUCUGCUUUUGUCUAAUGUUUAUUUUCUUUAAUAACAAGAAACAUGGGGAAAAUGUUCCAAAGAACCGAAAAAGGACUUGACUUUUCCUGGACGCCAGGCAACAGUAGCCAAAAAGCACAAAACAAGCCAUAGGAUGUUUUGGAGGGUUUAUGUUGCUCAUAUGCCUUGUCUUCAAUUAUGUGAGUCAUGCAAGCAUUUCCCCCUGAACACUUUCCAGCUCCCCCCACCCCAUAUCUCACCCCUCCAUGUCCUCCUCCUCGUUUACUCAGCUCCAUUCUCUUCUGUGUUUCUUGCGCUGCCUACAGUGAUUGCAUUUAAUGUGAAUGCUAUGGGGGAGGGAAUAUGGAAGACAAGAAGGUAAAGAAAGGACUUCUGUGGAAUCUGCGUGAACUGAAACAUGACAAAGUCUGAAGUUAUAAGUGAUAGGUGGAAUGGAAGAGAGGAGCAAGUUGAAGUCCAGGUCCUGAGUGGCAAGAGACACCGUCAGCAUGGAGCUCUGAUGCUUAAAACAUGGGAGAAAUGUAGGAUGCUGGUACCACAGAAGUUGUGUGCUACAAACUUUGAGCUACACCUCCUGGCUAGGAAUGGAUCUGCCUCCAGCCGCAUGCUCCCCAAGCACUUUCAUACUCAACACAUUGCCCAGAUACACAGAGAGCCUGGACAAGGGAAGUCCUCCAGGAUGAAACACGGGGAGCUACUGCUGAUGAGCCUGCAGGACCUUAGAGCUCCUUGUGUGUCUGCUUUCUGCGCCUUGGCUGCAUAG